rnacentral:rRNA from 1 species
UAYACCCUUCRGGCUUAGUGGCGCACGGGUGCGUAACGCGKGGGAAUCUGCCCUCAGGUACGGAAUAACAGCUAGAAAUGGCUGCUAAUACCGUAUGAUGUCUUCGGACCAAAGAUUUAUCGCCUGGGGAUGAGCCCGCGUUGGAUUASCUUGUUGGUGGGGUAAAGGCCUACCAAGGCGACGAUCCAUAGCUGGUCUGAGAGGAUGAUCAGCCACACUGGGACUGARACACGGCCCAGACUCCUACGGGAGGCASCAGUGGGGAAUAUUGRACAAUGGGCGCAAGCCUGAUCCAGCAAUGCCGCGUGAGUGAAGAAGGCCUUCGGGUUGUAAAGCUCUUUUACCCGGGAAGAUAAUGACUGUACCGGGAGAAUAAGCCCCGGCUAACUCCGUGCCAGCAGCCGCGGUAAA